rnacentral:rRNA from 1 species
UGGGGGAUAUUGCACAAUGGGCGCAAGCCUGAUGCAGCGACGCCGCGUGGGGGAUGAAGGCCUUCGGGUUGUAAACUUCUUUUGCUCUGAACAAGGCGCACUUUGGGGUGUGUUGAGUGUAGGGGUUGAUUAGCGCCGGCUAACUACGUGCCAGCAGCCGCGGUAAUACGUAGGGCGCGAGCGUUGUCCGGAAUUAUUGGGCGUAAAGGGCUUGUAGGUGGCUGGUUGCGUCUGUCGUGAAAGCUCAUGGCUUAACUGUGGGUUUGCGGUGGGUACGGGCUGGUUGAGUGCAGUAGGGGAGGCUGGAAUUCCUGGUGUAGCGGUGGAAUGCGCAGAUAUCAGGAGGAAUACCGGUGGCGAAGGCGGGUCUCUGGGCUGUUACUGACACUGAGGAGCGAAAGCAUGGGGAGCGAACAGG